GGGGUUGUGGCUCAGUGAUACAGCACUUGCCUAGCAUGCAUGGGGCACUGGGUUUGAUCCCCAGCAACACAU
rnacentral:tRNA from 1 species